ensembl:lncRNA
GGAUUGUCCUCCAUGUUGGUUCCAUUAUCCUCUAUGUUAGCUCCCCAAGGGCUGGCCUGGUCUAACUAUUACAAGAUAUCUAAUUAACUCACCUAUCUACAAUAUUCCCUCCUCUGAAGAAGUACCCCUAACUGCUGUGAGGGGGCAAAGGGCCAUGACUGUUCUGGCUACUUCUGGCUGAAGAGGGUUGUAGUUGUGAUCAGCAGUCAGUUACUCUACAGAGGGUCUAUCUAAAGGCCCUUGAUAGGUUCCAGGCAUUAUCAUCUUGAGGAGGCAUAUCGCUUGAGUCUGGGGGAAACAAUGCCAAAGAUAUUUGUAUUCUUUAUUGUUACAGUAACAUUAAACAAGCAGUCUUAUGACUAAUCCCAUAUGCUCAUCUCUGAUAAUUUCCUUAGGCUAGAUUCCAGGAAGUGAAUGACAUGGAAUCAAUGGUUUUGAAAACAUGUACAUCUUUUGUAAUAUGCCUUCAAAUUUAUUCCAAAAGAUUAUGAAGUGCACAAUAAGACAAAGUUUACAGCAGUAUAUUUCUUAAAUAAUUAUAUUUUUGAUGCGCGAAAUGGCAUAUUAUCACUAUUGUUACUGUUUUAUUUUUCAAGUUUUCAGUACUUACAAUGAUGAACAUUUCUCCUUGGUAUUUUUGAUCAUAUUUGGUCCAGUUUAUUUUUCUGAACUGUUUGUUUGUAUCUCGCACCUAUAGGCUACAUCUACUUUUAAUUAGAUUCCCGUGAUUCCUGUUCACCCUGGGACAAUGGGAGUACAGAAGGGAAUGCCAUGAAAAGGGCCUGCUGCUGGUCCUCAGAGAUCUCUUAACUGGACCAUGAUCAUAAUAAAACAUACUACAUUUACAGUCAGUUACAUUUUGCUACAACUUCUACUGUGAUAAUGAAGAAAAAUUGUGAGAAGAGAAAUCUUUGCCCUAUUUCUGAUCUCAGCAAGAAAAAUUUGAGCUUCUUAUCAUGCACAGUGGUGGUAUCCAUCAGUGUCUUGUAGAUGUUUUUUCAAGGCAUACUACUGAGAAUGUCCAUUAAUGGAAUGUUGCUCCAAGAAUGAUGCAGACAGGGUCAGCUGAAGAAGCCAUGAUGCAGCCAGACUCAUGGCCCCUAAUAUUGAAGAUAUUUGAAGUGUUUAUAUUCUGAGAUGGUUCAUUAUGCAGUGAUAAUUGAACCAGGAUGAUGAUUUCUGCGAAGACAUCAGGACCUGGGAGUGAGGGGAGGACAAGGAGCUAUGCUGCUGCCUCUUGGACAUCAGAGAGCCCCUGUGAUGGAGGUGCGGAAGCCACACCAGCCCCAUGCACAGGGUGGCAACACGUGAACUGGUACUCUUCCUGAUAAACGCUUCUGCUUCCAGCCGGCUGCACAGUCAUGAAGGGUAAACAAGCGGUGUUCCGAAGGGGACUGUCGGAGGACAAAAGAAUAUCUUGAAGAAAGUGUUUCUCAAAAUGAAGUCCAAAGACCCAUAAGAAUUCUAAUGUGCGAUCAGUAAUAAACAUGUUAAACAAACACCCUGUGUGAUUAUUCUACAUUGUGAAUAACCUACAGAAAAGAGCAACACUUAAAAGCAACAUCAUAGAGUUGCACAGGCCGAAUCAGCCCGCUGCAGACAGGCAGGUCUGCGGACGCCUUAGAACGUCGCCAGUUGCAUGGAACAUGCCGAAUCAGCCCGCAGCAAUCCACUGGACAGCGCCCCCCCCCUUCUGUACAGCCACCUGGUUCCACACUACAAAGACACAGAGGACACUGGACCACCAGACCGCUGUACUGGGUAAGUUGGAGUCAUCUUCACCUCCCAUCAGGACCAGGACUGUCUUCAGGGGAAGGGCAGCUGGAACCUGCAAUACAACUCUGCAGAGUCCAACCCUACAGGAGGACAGGGAGCUCAACUUGGGACUUGCAGCCAGAAAUCUGCCUGAAUCUCAUGGGUCUGCGACUAGCUUGCUGAGACUCAUUGACUUAUAUCUGCACACUGCUGCCCACGUUGUCUAUUGUGACAGCAGAG